rnacentral:lncRNA from 1 species
GAGAGGACUAGCUCAGAGAAAAUAUCCAGAAAAACAGGAGGAAUUUUCUCCUUCAUUUUUACCAGCACCAACUUAUCCACACAUUCAUUUUGAGCCAGUAGAAGGAAAACGGCCUGGUCCCCAACAAGUCUGUAUCCACAAAGAAGCCAAAAGCCACGGAUGCAGGAACAAGAGCCCAGCAGGACCAGAGGUACAGAAACCUAAGAGGUGGUCCCCACCGUCUGACAGGGCAGGCUUCCCGGAGAGCGAGCCUGCAGUUCUUAGAAGCUGAGGUCCUGUGUGGAGCACUCCCUCAGAAUGACAUUACUCUCCUGCUAACUCCAGUUAAUGGCAAGUGCAGUGAGAAAGCCCAGGUUGUGUAUGGGAGCUCUUGGAGGUGGCCUCAGAAACCCAGGAGCCUUACCAAGGAAUGAUGUGGAAACACCAGUGGUUUUCAUCAGAUCGUUAUUUUUACCAAAUCAUAAAAUAGCAGGCUGUCUUGCCCUUUUUUUUUUCAAGAAAAGCCUGUGAUGCAUUAGAAACACAUCAAUACAGUUUAUUUGUUAGUUCCAUUAAAAUAUCGCCCCGUGGAGAUUCUGAACCGCGAUUGUCACCCAUGCCCAGGGCACACUGAGUGCCAUCCUGGUAUGGCCAGGGGCGUCUUGCCUUUCAGCUCCUUCAGUGCCAUCUUAACCCUGUCGGCCGAGUCAGCGUCACUAAGUCAAAUUAGGGUUUAAAGAAAAGAGACGUGAGCUCCAAGAUAAAUGGUAUCAUUGCCCUCAUUCCAUUGUCUCGAGUGUAAGAUUUUAUUUGGAGGAGAAAGUGUAAUUAUGCCGAGGUAGAUGGCUAAAUUCUUUGACUUCAAACUCGUACUUUCUGCAAGAUUUCACCUGUGAGACUCGCAGUCUUUAAUUAGUGCCUCACAUGUUAAAAGAGAGCCUUUCUUUUGAAUGGCUAAUAACGUUAUUAGAAGAGGUAAUUACCGAUCAGGUGUCUGUGGUCAAAAACACUCGCGGGCGGAGGCAACAUUCUGGCUUUUGAACUCUGAAAUAAUUUGGUAGGGAAACACUUUCUCCCCCAGAAUGUUGUUGAUGUUUUGAAUUUGUUGGGGUUUUUUUUCUCUCUUUUUUUCUUUUUAAGGAGAAGAAGAAACAUUUAGAAAUCCAUCCUUUUCUGGAUGAAUUUCUUUCCUUCCCAGAAAGCAAGAAAACAAUCGUUUCCUGUAAUUGGACAGUUUGAUUGGAGGCAGGUGGUGCCGAGCCCAGGAACUGGAGCCACAAAGCCAAUUUUGGCUUCCAGCGCGUUUCCUUAGUUCCAAGCUCCAGCCGCACAACAUGUAAAUUGGCUCCACAGAAGCCAGCUAUAAAUUUAGUUCCCGUUCCUCUAACAAGCACCUUAUCAGCGAUGAAGAGUUGAGCAAAUGGGGACAGUGCACAGAUCUGACAUGAUCUCCGAGGCGCCCCGAGAUACCCCUGCAUUCAUUUCCCCAAAGGGUCCUCGUGGCCACACACUGGGAAUUGAGGAUGGUUCUGGAAGCAGACGUGUGCCAUCACUUUAAAAUAUGGUGGUGUUUUCUUUUUCCGGGUUAAUUGGCCUUUGCAUGGCUCGUGUUGCAUUAUCUUGAGUUAAUAUUUGCUUUCAAUAUUUUUGAGCAACAGGCCAAGUCAGCGUGGAGUCGCAGAUUACAAACAUCAGGUCUGAGGAGGGGCCAGCAGUAGCGGCCUGGAGAGUCAGUGGAAUCCGUUCCUUCUCCCCUGCUGCUCUCCUCCACUGCCCUUUCCUUAUUUCUCUUCUCAGAGGCCAGAUCUUCAUCUCAACCACUGCAGGGCAUCUGACAAACAAUGUUCCUCUUUUACAGAUGUAGCAGCUGAGGUCCAGAGAGGUUAACUGUUUGGGCCAACAUCACACAGUAAGUCCAGAGCAGAGAAGAAGGAAUAGGUCCAGACACUAACUUCCCAGCCUGCUGGUCUGACCACACAUCUAUUAAUUUUCUCCCUACGGUAAAUCCAUAAUUGAAAACAUCAUUUAUAAGAAUCCUGGGGGUGAGGAAAGGCAGAGGGGACUUAUCUGGUAAUUCUAUCAAAGUAUCGUCCUUUGUCUACUGAGUUUAUUAAAUGAGUUACUACAAGGGCCAGCAUGUUUAUUAAUUUCUGUCUACGCUCAAAUUUUUUAAACAUGGUAACCUGAUGCAUAGGCAAGUUUUGAUCUUUGUUUUCUCUUUCAGAACUUGAAAA